rnacentral:rRNA from 1 species
CCUACGGGGGGCAGCAGUCGAGAAUCAUUCACAAUGGGGGAAACCCUGAUGGUGCGACGCCGCGUGGGGGAAUGAAGGUCUUCGGAUUGUAAACCCCUGUCAUGUGGGAGCAAAUUAAAAAGAUAGUACCACAAGAGGAAGAGACGGCUAACUCUGUGCCAGCAGCCGCGGUAAUACAGAGGUCUCAAGCGUUGUUCGGAAUCACUGGGCGUAAAGCGUGCGUAGGCUGUUUCGUAAGUCGUGUGUGAAAGGCGCGGGCUCAACCCGCGGACGGCACAUGAUACUGCGAGACUAGAGUAAUGGAGGGGGAACCGGAAUUCUCGGUGUAGCAGUGAAAUGCGUAGAUAGCGAGAGGAACACUCGUGGCGAAGGCGGGUUCCUAGACAUUAACUGACGCUGAGGCACGAAGGCCAGGGGAGCGAAAGGGAUUAGAUACCCUGGUAGUC